UAUAUGUUAUUUGCAGUUUUUACAUUGAAGAUUUAUCAUUAGAAAUUCUGCUACUGCAUUUGUCACUGAAGUACCCAAUCAAAAUGCAGAAGUCAAAAUAAAACUGUCAUCUUUUCAUAUUCCUGAAUAAGCUUUAAAAUAUUAAGCAAGAGAGAAAUAGUAAACUAAAAAGUCAAUAAUUGAUUAAAGCUUAGAAAUGAAAACAAGAGUACAUAAACCAAACCAUUCUUAUAAAAACUGUUUGUAAAUUUUUUAACCUGUAAAAAGUUAAAUACAUUAGAUAAAUUUAAAUUUGGUCAUAUGAUAGCAAUAAAAGAUGAUUCUCUCAUGUACAUUAAGUUAUGGGUGAGUUCAUAAAUAUUUACAAGAGGUUUUGGGGACUGUUGCAGUUUUUGAAAUAUCAUCUUAUAAUUUACAACAAUAGCAACAACUGUUAUUGAAAAUUAUUAAGUGAAAACUAUAUAUGAUUAUAACCACAUUUAAUAAGCUCAUAUUGAAAUCUAAAAAGGAAUGCACAAAAAUAGAUGUUCUGUGUUAUUGGUACGAAAAGAAUAAUCUUUUUCCUUCCUUCAAAAUUUACUGCAAUACAUUAGUAAUUUAAAAAAUAAACUUUACAGAAUAAUCGGAAUAGUUCAAAACCCUACAAAUGGAUAGCAAUUAAUGAAAGAUAAGGGUGUCACUACUGUAUAUAGGAUUCAGAAUUAAAGAAUAAAUCAUUUUUACAUACUCGAUACUAUAAUAUAAAUUAAUUCCCCAAAUUUUAGGAGAAACACAAAUGUACUUUCUUUUUUAACCUACAACAAACUUAACAAAAGAAAUACAUUUAUUCUUAAGGGGGAAAAAAAAUCAAUGCUUAACCACAGCAGAUGCCUGGCAUGGAGGGGUAUUUUUCUACUCUUUUAAUAGACACAUGAAAAUCUAAGCCUGGCAAACACUUAAAUUGAAGACUCUGGAACACAGUGAAUAAGUGACAUCUGGCAGAAAAUGUUAAAUAUUUCAUUCCUACUUCUGCAGAAAAGAAAAGGACUGAAAUUUAACAAAAUUUAAAAGAACAUUUCAUAUAACACUGAUAUGCAAUUAUAAAAAAUAGAUUUGGUUAAAUCUAUAUGAUAUAUGAAUAACACGAAAGUUAACAGAAUGGUAUAAAAACCAAUACUGAAUAGGUCCAUCGUGCCUACCAUUAAGUAUUUUUUAUAUCAAUGAAUUACGUAAUCUGUAAAAUGAUUAUAGAACCAAGUACAUCCACCCAAAUAUUGGAGGCAGAAUGGCUUUAUUCUACUGGAUGCUCUACAAAACACCUCUGCUUCAAGUAGUUUUAUUUCCUCAGAAUGCUACUCAGCUUCACAGAAAGGGUAUAAAAUAUCUUGGCUUUUGGCAAUUAAACUAAAUAAAAUUUAAAAGUCCAAGACCUGAGAGUAUUCACUGUUAAAUUACUUUGAAGCUACUUCUCUUGGGUUCUCUGGCACUUUCCUUUGUUAGAAGAAGUGAUCUAAAUUUUGCUUAAGUUUAUGUUCACUUUAAUGUGAACUAUGAAACAUUCCAUUUACAAAGCAUUCUUAGGCUUUCGUGAAUUUUAAAGGGUAUUAUUCGAAAAUAUAGGCUGGGGCCAUCUUUUCUCCUCCCGUGGAGCCGCCGCCAUGAAGAUCGAGCUGUGCGGUUUCAGUGGGUACAAGAUUCCUGGACACGGAGGUGCUACGCCAGGACCGAAGGAAAGGUUUUCCAGUUUCUUAAUGCAAAAUGCAAGUCAGCCUUCCUUUCCAAGAGGAAUCCUCAGCAGAUAAACCGGACUGUCUUCUAUGGAAGGAAGCAUAAAAUGGGACAGUCGGAAGAAGUUCAAAAGAAAAGAACCCGCGGAGCAGUCAAAUUCCAGAGGGCCAUUACUGGUGCAUCUCUUGCUAAUAUCAUGGCCAAAAGAAAUCAGAAACCUGAAGUUAGUAAGGCACAAGAAGAACAAGCUAUCAGGGCUUCUAAGGAAGCAAAAAAGGAUAAGCAGGUAUCUAAAAAGACUGCAAUGGCUGCUGCUAAGGCACUUCCAAAGACAGCAGCUAAGCAAAUGAUUGUGAAGCCUGUGCAAGUUUCGGCUCCCGAGUUGGUGGAAAACGCUAAACUGGCAGAUUAGAUUUUUAAAU